UGGGGAAUAUUGGACAAUGGGCGCAAGCCCGAUCCAGCCACGCCGCGUGAGUGAUGAAGGCCUUCGGGUCGUAAAGCUCUGUGGGGAGGGACGAACCGCUGCACGUUCAUAGCGUGCAGCAUGACGGUACCUCCUUAGCAAGCACCGGCUAACUCCGUGCCAGCAGCCGCGGUAAUACGGAGGGUGCAAACGUUGCUCGGAAUCAUUGGGCGUAAAGCGCACGUAGGCGGCGAAGCAAGUCGGGUGUGAAAGCCCUGGGCUCAACCCAGGAAGUGCAUUCGAAACUAUUUCGCUUGAAUCUCGGAGGGGGUCAGAGAAUUCCCGGUGUAGAGGUGAAAUUCGUAGAUAUCGGGAGGGACACCAGUGGCGAAGGCGGCGAUCUGGGUCGAUACUGACGCUGAGGUGCGAAAGCGUGGGGAGCAAACA
rnacentral:rRNA from 1 species